GCCUGAUCCAGCCAUACCGCGUGGGUGAAGAAGGCCUUCGGGUUGUAAAGCCCUUUUGUUGGGAAAGAAAAGCAGUCGGCUAAUACCCGGUUGUUCUGACGGUACCCAAAGAAUAAGCACCGGCUAACUUCGUGCCAGCAGCCGCGGUAAUACGAAGGGUGCAAGCGUUACUCGGAAUUACUGGGCGUAAAGCGUGCGUAGGUGGUUGUUUAAGUCUGUUGUGAAAGCCCUGGGCUCAACCUGGGAAUUGCAGUGGAUACUGGGCGACUAGAGUGUGGUAGAGGGUAGUGGAAUUCCCGGUGUAGCAGUGAAAUGCGUAGAGAUCGGGAGGAACAUCCAUGGGGAAGGCAGCUACCUGGACCAACACUGACACUGAGGCACGAAAGCGUGGGGAGCAAACAGGAUUACAUACCCUGGUAGUCCACGCCCUAAACGAUGCGAACUGGAUGUUGGGUGCAAUUUGGCACGCAGUAUCGAAGCUAACGCGUUAAGUUCGCCGCCUGGGGAGUACGGUCGCAAGACUGAAACUCACGAGGAAUUGACGGGGGCCCGCACAAGCGGUGGAGUAUGUGGUUUAAUUCGAUGCAACGCGCAGAACCUUACCUGGUCUUGACAUGUCGAGAAC
rnacentral:rRNA from 1 species